GUAUUGCAUGUAAGGAGAGAAGGGUAGCACUGCACUUGAUAAGGAUGAAAUAUGUGUUUAUGGCAUGUACAACAUGCAUAUGGUUUAAGAUAUUGCCGCUUACUUUGUGGCAUCUAACCUUUUUUUUUC